CACGUAGGGGGCGAGCGUUGUCCGGAUUUAUUGGGCGUAAAGAGCUCGUAGGCGGCUCAGUAAGUCAGGUGUGAAAACUCCAGGCUCAACCUGGAGACGCCACCUGAUACUGCUGUGGCUAGAGUCCGGUAGGGGAGCAUGGAAUUCCUGGUGUAGCGGUGAAAUGCGCAGAUAUCAGGAGGAACACCGAUGGCGAAGGCAGCUCGCUGGGACGGUACUGACGCUGAGGCGCGAAAGCGUGGGGAGCAAACAGG
rnacentral:rRNA from 1 species